rnacentral:rRNA from 1 species
ACAGGUUGAUAUUCCUGUACUACCGAUAACCGUUUGAGAGAAGGGAUGACACAGUAGGAUAAGCUAAGCACACUGUUGGUUAUGUGUGCCCAAGCAUUGAGGCGGUCAAAGUAGGCAAAUCCGCUUUGAUAAUGCUGGGAUGUGAUGGGGAGCGAAAUUUAGUAGCGAAGUAGCUGAUUUCACACUGUCAAGAAAAGUCUCUA